rnacentral:rRNA from 1 species
CCUACGGGUGGCAGCAGUGGGGGAUAUUGCACAAUGGGGGGAACCCUGAUGCAGCGACGCCGCGUGGGUGAAGGAGCGUUUCGGCGCGUAAAGCCCUAUCGGCAGGGACGAAGAUGACGGUACCUGACCAAGAAGCCCCGGCUAACUACGUGCCAGCAGCCGCGGUAAUACGGAGGGGGCAAGCGUUAUCCGGAUUUACUGGCUGUAACGGGGGCGCAGACGGCAAUGCAAGCCAGUCGUGAAAGGCCGGGGCCCAACCCCGGGACUGCUCUUGGAACUGCAAGGCUGGAAUACAGGAGGGGUAGGCGGAAUGCGUAGUGUAGAGGUGAAAUGCGUAGAGAUGAGGAAGAACGCCGGUGGCGAAGGCGGCCAGCUGGACUGUGACUGACGUUGAGGCCCGAAGGCGUGGGGAGCAAACAGGAUUAGAUACCCGGGUAGUC